GACGAACGCUGGCGGCGUGCCUAAUACAUGCAAGUCGAACGCAGGGGGGACGGGUGAGUAACACGUGGGUAACCUCCCAUCAGAGGGGAUAACACUUGGAAACAGGUGCUAAACCCCAAUGGAUGGAUGGACCCGCUGGGGAAUAGCUAGUGGGUGAGGUAACGGCGCACCAAGGCCACGAUGCAUAGCCGACCUGAGAGGGGGACCAGCCACACUGGGACUGAGACACGGCCCAGACUCCUACGGGAGGCAGCAGUAGGGAAUAUUCGGCAAUGGACGCAAGUCUGACGGAGCAACGCCGCGUGAGUGAAGAAGGUUUUCGGGUUGUAAAGCUCUGUUGUUAGGGAGGCGGUAUCUAACCAGAAAGCCACGGCUAACUACGUGCCAGCAGCCGCGGUAAUAC
rnacentral:rRNA from 1 species